rnacentral:ncRNA from 2 species
GAACAUCACAUGGGGUGUCCUAUGAUAGGGCUGAGAUCAUACCCGGAAGUGAAUCACUUCGCACCUGAUCCAGGUAAUACUGGCGUAGGGAUUAAGGCAAGGCCAUUUU